rnacentral:rRNA from 1 species
AACGAACGCUGGCGGCAGGCCUAACACAUGCAAGUCGAGCGAGAUCUUCGGGUCUAGCGGCGGACGGGUGAGUAACGCGUGGGAAUAUGCCUCUUGGUACGGAAUAGCCUCGGGAAACUGGGAGUAAUACCGUAUGUGCCCUUUGGGGGAAAGAUUUAUCGCCAAGAGAUUAGCCCGCGUUGGAUUAGGUAGUUGGUGGGGUAAUGGCCUACCAAGCCGACGAUCCAUAGCUGGUUUGAGAGGAUGAUCAGCCACACUGGGACUGAGACACGGCCCAGACUCCUACGGGAGGCAGCAGUGGGGAAUCUUAGACAAUGGGGGCAACCCUGAUCUAGCCAUGCCGCGUGAGUGAUGAAGGCCUUAGGGUUGUAAAGCUCUUUCAGCUGGGAAGAUAAUGACGGUACCGGCAGAAGAAGCCCCGGCUAACUCCGUG